UACGUAGGGAGCGAGCGUUGUCCGGAUUCAUUGGGCGUAAAGAGCUCGUAGGCGGCUUGGCAAGUCGGGUGUGAAAACUCCAGGCUCAACCUGGAGACGCCACCCGAUACUGCCAUGGCUAGAGUCCGGUAGGGGACCACGGAAUUCCUGGUGUAGCGGUGAAAUGCGCAGAUAUCAGGAGGAACACCGAUGGCGAAGGCAGGUCUCUGGGCCGAUACUGACGCUGAGGAGCGAAAGCGUGGGGAGCGAACAGG
rnacentral:rRNA from 1 species